rnacentral:rRNA from 1 species
ACGGCAGCACGGACUUCGGUCUGGUGGCGAGUGGCGAACGGGUGAGUAAUAUAUCGGAACGUAUCCAAUAAUGGGGGAUAACUAAUCGAAAGGUUGGCUAAUACCGCAUACGCCCUACGGGGGAAAGCAGGGGAUCUUCGGACCUUGCGUUAAUGGAGCGGCCGAUAUCUGAUUAGCUAGUUGGUGGGGUAAGAGCCUACCAAGGCGACGAUCAGUAGCUGGUCUGAGAGGACGACCAGCCACACUGGAACUGAGACACGGUCCAGACUCCUACGGGAGGCAGCAGUGGGGAAUUUUGGACAAUGGGCGAAAGCCUGAUCCAGCCAUUCCGCGUGAGUGAAGAAGGCCUUCGGGUUGUAAAGCUCUUUCGCAAGGGAAGAAAACUUACCUUCUAAUAAAGGGUGAGGGUGACGGUACCUUGAUAAGAAGCACCGGCUAACUACGUGCCAACAGCCGCGGUAAUACGUAAGGUGCGAACCGUUAAUCGGAAA